rnacentral:lncRNA from 1 species
UUUUUCAUUCUUGAAGAUUCUAGGGUUCUCUCAUUUUUGGGAUUUUCUUCUCUUUUAGGUAUUCUUCAUGUUCUUUCUCUGGAAAUCUUUGAGUGUAAAUUAAAGAUUGCUUUUGGUAUGCAAUCUUUGAGAGAAUAGAUUGUAAAUUUCACUUUCUUUUGUAUUUUGAAAGAGAGGCGAGAGAAACUGAAUGAACUUGUGUUCUCUUCAUACAUUCGUACUAUUUUUUGGGUAAUUUCUUUAUGAAAUUGAGCAAUAUCUACUUGUAGAUGUUCAAUAGGUGAGUAGGUUUUUUCAAACUGAACAUCCGGGCCUUUGUGAC